ensembl:lncRNA
AUGAUGGCAGUUGCCAAAUUGUGUGUUUGGGCUACACACUGCACUCCAAUCCAUGAAUCUGCUCCAGAGCCUGCUCCAGUCCAUGAGUCCGCUCCAGAGGCUGCUCAAACCUCAGAGCUCAGUCCUAUGUUGGCGCCAGCCUGUAAGUUUCCUGUUUGUCCUGUUUUGACUACAGUGGUCACACGUGAACCUUCUGCCAGUCAUGUCACGGCCAAAGAGGUUGUCGCUGAACUCACAGUCUGUCCUGUCAUGGUAAAAGAGAACUGUCAAUCUGUAAUGCUACAGCCACUGUGGCCAUUUAAGGAUCCUCUGCCUGUCAUGUCACAAGCAAGGAGGCAACUCACAAACCUUUUGCCUGUUCUGUCACAACCAGGUGGUCUAUCCAUGUCUCUGCUCCAACAUGGCCUCCUGACCUGUGGUGAUCUUCUCCUCCGCAGGCUUCACCUUGGUCACCUGCUUAGCCCUGGCUUCCUGCUCUGCAUGCCGGCUACACCCUGUUGGUCAUCUGCUCCACUGUUGGGAUCCUCAAUACCGCCUGCUCUGCCCUGGUGGUCUUCAGCUCCACUUGCUGGUCUGCUCUGCUGCUCUGCUGGCUCCAUCAUGGUCUCCACCUCUGCUACAUGGACCAGGUCCUCAUCCAUGAUCCAGGCCCACCUCUGCUCCACAGUCCAUGGUUUCCGUCAUUGCUCAAUGGUCCAGGCCCACCUCUGCUCCAUGGUCCAGACCUGCCAUUGCUCCACAGUACAGGUUCACCACUGCUGCAGGGCCUAUGGUCUUGCCCACUGCUCCACGGUCAAGACCUACCAUUGCUCCACUAUCCAGGUCCACCACUGCUCCAUAGUCAAGACCUACCCUUGCUCCACGGUCCAGGUCUACACACUGCUCCAUGGUCUCUGCCUCUGCUCCAUGGACCAGGUCAACCACUGCACCAUGGCCCACGGUCUUGCCCCCUGCUCCACGGCCCAAGCCUGCCACUGUUCCACGAUCCAGGUCUUGUUCCACUUCACAGGCCUGGCCCUCCAUCAUGCCCCUAAGACCACCCUCCUGAACUAUUCCUUUAAAUCCAGCCAUGAACACUGA